rnacentral:rRNA from 1 species
AACGAACGCUGGCGGCAGGCCUAACACAUGCAAGUCGAGCGAAGCCUUCGGGCUUAGCGGCGGACGGGUGAGUAACGCGUGGGAACGUGCCCUUUGCUACGGAAUAGCCCCGGGAAACUGGGAGUAAUACCGUAUGUGCCCUUCGGGGGAAAGAUUUAUCGGCAAAGGAUCGGCCCGCGUUGGAUUAGGUAGUUGGUGGGGUAAUGGCCUACCAAGCCGACGAUCCAUAGCUGGUUUGAGAGGAUGAUCAGCCACACUGGGACUGAGACACGGCCCAGACUCCUACGGGAGGCAGCAGUGGGGAAUCUUAGACAAUGGGCGGAAGCCUGAUCUAGCCAUGCCGCGUGAUCGAUGAAGGCCUUAGGGUUGUAAAGAUCUUUCAGGUGGGAAGAUAAUGACUGUACCACCAGAAGAAGCCCCGGCUAACUCCGUGCCAGCAGCCGCAGUAAAAC